UAGGGAAUCUUCGGCAAUGGGGGGAACCCUGACCGAGCAACGCCGCGUGAGUGAAGAAGGUUUUCGGAUCGUAAAGCUCUGUUGUUAAGGAAGAACGAGUGUGAGAAUGGAAAGUUCAUGCUGUGACGGUACUUAACCAGAAAGGGACGGCUAACUACGUGCCAGCAGCCGCGGUAAUACGUAGAUCCCGAGCGUUGUCCGGAUUUAUUGGGCGUAAAGCGAGCGCAGGCGGUUAGAAAAGUCUGAAGUGAAAGGCAGUGGCUCAACCAUUGUAGGCUUUGGAAACUGUUUAACUUGAGUGCAGAAGGGGAGAGUGGAAUUCCAUGUGUAGCGGUGAAAUGCGUAGAUAUAUGGAGGAACACCGGUGGCGAAGGCGACUUUCUGGCCAUAAUCUGACGCUGAGGUACGAAAGCGUGGGUAGCAAACAGG
rnacentral:rRNA from 1 species